AGCAGUCGCCGCGGUAAUACAGAGGGUGCGAGCGUUAAUCGGAUUUACUGGGCGUAAAGCGUGCGUAGGCGGCUUCUUAAGUCGGAUGUGAAAUCCCUGAGCUUAACUUAGGAAUUGCAUUCGAUACUGGGAAGCUAGAGUAUGGGAGAGGAUGGUAGAAUUCCAGGUGUAGCGGUGAAAUGCGUAGAGAUCUGGAGGAAUACCGAUGGCGAAGGCAGCCAUCUGGCCUAAUACUGACGCUGAGGUACGAAAGCAUGGGGAGCAAACAGGAUUAGAUACCCGAGUAGUCCCUGUCUCUUAUAA
rnacentral:rRNA from 1 species